rnacentral:lncRNA from 1 species
AUUUGACCUAGAAAACUCUGAUGCAGACUUGAUUUUAUGACCUUCAGCAAAUUCUUUACUCUUUCUGUGCUUUGGUUUCAGUCUACUUACUACUGGUAUGCAUAUCUUCCUAGCUUGGAAGGGGUGGCAUGGUGAAGGACACUUGGCAACACCACUGUUUUGAAUUGGGCCUUAACCAGAUUUUCUACCUCAAGGUGAUGCACCACAAUAAGAUUCCUGGUCAGACAGAGAGAGUGGAAUCAGGGAUCUUUACCGGCCAUCUCCUUGCUAUUCCUUCUCCCCGCAGCAAAUUUCAUCUGAUUUUUAAGGAUGGCAAACAGACCUUCAGUAUCAUCUUGGAAAAUGGACUUUUGGAGAAAUAAUAUUUUGCCAGGCAAGAUUUCACAGCGAUUCCUUUGUGACUGAGACCUUUUUCUGCAUUUCUUUCCACCUGGCAGUGUACUAGAAUGUGAAUUUGCAAGGUUGGGAGCUGGCCCUUGUCUCCAGUCCAUGAGAAAAAAGCUCCCCCUAGCUGUGCUGCUCACCACACAAAUAAGCACAAAGUUUCCCUACUGUCAGGAUGGAGCUGAGGAAGAGCCUAUUACGGGCGCUUGUCAGAUACCACAAGUAGUUUGUGAGGUGUCAGCUCAGCAGCCAUCCUGGAGGGAAGGAGCACACUUUUAACUCCAUUAAAUAUCUUGGAGGCUUUUGGCAACAAAAGACACUUGACUGCCAUUUCUCCUUGCAUUUUGUUCUGCUACUUUUGGUUUAGCAUUCCCUUAAAAUGGUUUAACUAGGAGCAUUUAGGAAAUAGCCCAAACAUAUGUGAUCAUUUUUGC